AUGUUAGGUGGUUCUGUUCUACUGCAUUUAGCUGCAGAAAUGGAUGCUUUGAGUGCGCGUGGUUUGAUCCUUGGUAGGGGAUUCAGUGUGGGCUACGAAUGCAUUCUUCUGAAUUUUAGGAUGGGAUGCAAAUCUUACUCUUCUGUCUGCGGCAGCCGUGCUUGUUUAGGUUGUAUUGUGUUGAACUCUAGAAUGGGAUGCAAAUGUAUGGAACUUUGUACACAGAGUGUGAUUGCUGGUCUUUGUUGCUUGCUAGACAAACUUCCAGCCAAGACUGUCCAUGUUACUUGUAUAAAACAAGUAAAUGACAUAACUGCACCUGCACGUAGCAUUUGUAGGGGUACUCAGCAAGAACAGAGCAAUGUUUCCUUUAUUUGA
rnacentral:rRNA from 1 species